rnacentral:snoRNA from 1 species
CUCCCAUGAUGAGGACAGGCGGCCACGUAUUCCUAAAGUCGUUCCCAUGCUUCAGGAAUGAACUCAUCCCUUGUCUGCUGGAAACUUGAAAUUCUCCCACAAAGGGCG